rnacentral:lncRNA from 12 species
CCCCCUCCUCUGAAGGGCAGGAAGGGGCACCGUGAGGGGAGAGCGCUGUGCCCUCACGCCUCUGCCCUCAUGGCAAAAUGGUGGCUGCGCUGAAGGGCGGGAAGGGGCACCAUGACGGAGGCCAAGGCAGAACUCUCUGCUGCUGCAGCUCCACGUUCUUGAAAUGGAACUCCUGCAGUUGUUUGAUCCAGACUUCCACGGUGCAGGCACAAAGAACAGUCAAUAGUGAGGGCACCCAGGCCUCACAGCUGCAACAGGAACAGAAGAGCUCUGCUUUCCCCUGAAAGUGCCUCAGUUGAGGAUGUUCCUUGUCUUUCAAGUCAAGUCACCCUGGCACUUGAAAAGACUUCGUGGAGCACUAAAGUUUAGGAAAAGGAUGUGAGCAUAUACUAAAACUCUCCUUUUAAGUCUUCUCAGAAAUGAUGCGUUUAGCCAUCACUAUUUAUGCCUCUGUCCGUACAUGUAUUACGUACAAACACCAUCUGUCUG